rnacentral:lncRNA from 1 species
GCAUUCCUUUUCCUUACCCUCGGGCAAGGCUUGCGUGCAGGCAUACCUGCCAAAAUUCCCCAAACCGUAGGUCCCCCAGCCUCACAGGAUUUUUCAUUUGCGGCCAUCCCUGCGGGCAUGCAAGUCACUUGUCGUGACUGUUUCGCUGAUGGGACACCACUCACACGAGCACCUAGAGUCCUGCAGGUGAGCUCCUUUGUUCCCUCGUCAGGUGUUAGCUGACCAGCCUUCCCUUUCAGUCUUGUCGGUUACCCAUAACCUCCAACUGCCCGGAUGCAUUGCAUGUCAUCCGAGGGCCAAGGAUGCUGUAAUUUGGGGUAUAAAAUGCUGCCUCAUUUCUGCUUUCUUCUUCAAUUCUUCAUUCCUUUGAGCAAACAGGAAACCAGAGAGAGUGAUAGUCGAAUUUAGAGGGAAUCUAGUGAGAGAAAGAGAGUAAAAACUAAGAGAAUAAGAGUUCUGAAAACAGAGUGUGAGCGUGUACGCGUGCUGUCCGAAGGAGAAGAGGAUCCCUUCUUUUCUCAGGUAAGCAUCUCCUUGUGUUUCAAGUAGAUUACGCCUCCCUUCCAUUUAUUCGCUUAUUCCUUUUCACCCAAACAUAUAAAUCUUUCUUCCAGCUUCGACCAAAGCUCAUUCUGCAACUAGAACAGAGCCAAUAUAAACUGUUUAGGUAAGCGUGCUAUUCCUCCUCAAUUCUUAUUUUCUUUUUGUUGUUUCUUUGAUUUCCAGCUAUAUAUUGGUUUAUUUAGGUUCUAACUUGAAUUUAAACCGAAUUCAUGCGGGUAAAAUAACCAAGAAACCGCAAAUUAAACUCAAAAACCCGACUGACACAGCAACUGCCGCACAAGCCUUUUGCUAGCUAUUCUUCUUGCUUUUAAAUCGAUUUUCUCGUGCGUUUGGAGUGCUUAGCCUUCUACUUUACGGUAAGAUUGGUGGUAAUUAGUUUUUUCCAGCAUUUGGUUUUAGAGAUGCAUGUAGGGUGAUUAAAUCUUUGAAAAAUGAAUGUGUUCUUACUGUUUUAAUUAAUGCUGAGGAUGUGUGCAUUUCAUGCUUGCUUUUUAAUAUUUAACCUUAUUUUUUAUGCUGAUUUCGAUGGAAUUUGAUUACUGGAAUGCUGUAUACCAUUAUGCAGAUGGAUUAAAAUGCUGAAACAAAAGGGAAAAUGGAAACAAUUAACAAAUAGAGGUCUGAUGCCUCUAUAUGUGUUGCCUAGGCACCAAUGUGCUGGCUAAUGGGGCAGACACCAGUGACCGUGCACGACGCUGCAUGCGGGACACUAUUCAGAUGUCCAAAAGUGUCGGGACAUGUCCCCUGACACGCUGGAUAGGUGCAGCACACUGCGCACAAGCAAAAGAUUCCUGUCAGGCGCCCCUAUUGUGUCGAGGGGACCUGCGCGAGGCACUAUUUGUGCCAACUGAUGUGCGUGCAUGCGCAUAGGGAUGCACGCCCAGGCAGCCUUAACGCUGAGGCAUGCACCCCACUUACAAGCUGCUACGUGUAGCAAGUCGUGCGGGGCACGGACACUGCCAGGCGUGCACACAUGGAGAGUGCCACGGGUUAAGGCACUUUGUGCUACAGGUGCGAGCUUGCGAGAUUUUAUCCCCCUAUCGCGGGUUUGAGGGCAAAUUGCUCAAAAGCGUAAAAAGGAAUUGAUUUGGUCAUCUAAAAUUAAGUUUGAAAUUGAAAUGGUGAAAUAAGGCAAUUGAAAUUAAAAAGAAAAAUGGGCAAUAAAAUAUGAAUUUUGAAAAAAAGGCAUAUUAAGUAAUUAGAAGAAAAAUCUAAGGAAUUUGGAAAUUAAGUAAGAAAUUAUAAAUUUAUGAAUUAAGAAAAUUUUGACUCAAAUGGGAAAUUUGGUAAAAAUAAUCGUUUUGGAAAAAAUAGAUUUUUGAGCUAGGCUUAGGGUUAGGCUUAGAGUUUUGGUCUAAACCUAGGGCAAUGCUUAGGUCCAGACUAAAUUUAAAAUGAAAUAAAGUAAGUAUGGGGAAAAGGGCAGUUUUAGUCUAAACCUAAGGUAAGGCUUAGGUCUAGGGUAAAUCUAAAUGAAAUAAGAAAGCUUGUAUGGUGUCUAAUAAGAAAAAAUAAACAAAAUUGUCCAGUUAAAUCCAUUUACCCUGUUAUCUAGGAGGAUUUAUCUGUUUCUAUGUAUGUAUGCUUCUGAACACAUAAAUGGGUUUCUGCGAACCCUCGUGGAUGAUGGUUCAACUUGGUUAGACAUUUUACGUUCACUGCUUGUGCAAAUGGAGUGGACGAGGCAAUCGGAGUGGUUGAAUGUUCUGUCAGUAUAUCUGUUUUGUUAUUUGUGUCCCUAUUCACAAUAUUAUUUGGUGUAUUCUACCCUUUUAAGUGCAGGCUUAGGCAGUCGCGCGCGUAGUUACGUAAACAAUAUGACUUAAUUAAACAUUAAUAAUACUGUAAUAUAAUUAUGUUAAAAGACGAGUUAGAGUCUAAGUUUGGGUACAUGAGUCAAUGAUCUAAUUUAAUUUCUCUAUAAGAUUUGAUUUGAUCGGAUCCAUUAUGUUCUAAUGCCUUUGGAGCCAUGAUAUGUUUUGCAUGAUAAUUUUAGUUUUGGUUCCCUAAUAAUAUGAAGUAUGGAGAAAUGAAAUGAAUUAAAUUGAUUUGGUAAGUUAUCUGAAUAUUUCACUAUUGAAUAAGUAUUUGUUUUCAAUGAUGUUUGUAUAAUUUAAUUACUACCUGUCUUUCUGAGUUUAUUGGAACUCACCCCGAUCCAAAUCCCUCAUAGAUGAUGACUUUACAGAUAUGCUUCAUGAGGCUUGUUUGGACCCGUUCUAGGAUGCUUAGUGGGAGAAUUGAAAGACUUUCUCUUUCAUAUUUUGCUUUUGACAUCUAGAUUUUUUGGUAAAUUCAUAACAUUUAUAUGUAGGAUUUGAUAGCCUAGUGCCUCAGUACACUAUGAUUGUAAUUUUUGUAAGAGAUGAAUAUUCAACAUUUUUUAUUUAAAUGUGUUUUUUAGUCUACUAAGUUAGAUGUUUGAUGGUGUCGAAUCCACCAAAAAUAAUAUCCUAUU